GCCCUGCUUCCAGGAAAAGCCUCUAAGCAUCAGGUAACACGAAAUCGUACCCCAAACCGACACAGGUGGUCAGGUAGAGAAUACCAAGGCGCUUGAGAGAACUCGGGUGAAGGAACUAGGCAAAAUGGUGCCGUAACUUCGGGAGAAGGCACGCUGAUAUGUAGGUGAAGUCCCUGCGGACGGAGCUGAAAUCAGUCGAAGAUACCAGCUGGCUGCAACUGUUUAUUAAAAACACAGCACUGUGCAAACACGAAAGUGGACGUAUACGGUGUGACGCCUGCCCGGUGCCGGAAGGUUAAUUGAUGGGGUUAGCGGCAACGCGAAGCUCUUGAUCGAAGCCCCGGUAAACGGCGGCCGUAACUAUAACGGUCCUAAGGUAGCGAAAUUCCUUGUCGGGUAAGUUCCGACCUGCACGAAUGGCGUAAUGAUGGCCAGGCUGUCUCCACCCGAGACUCAGUGAAAUUGAACUCGCUGUGAAGAUGCAGUGUACCCGCGGCAAGACGGAAAGACCCCGUGAACCUUUACUAUAGCUUGACACUGAACACUGGUCCUUGAUGUGUAGGAUAGGUGGGAGGCUUUGAAGCGUGGACGCCAGUCUGCGUGGAGCCAACCUUGAAAUACCACCCUUUAAUGGCUGGUGUUCUAACGUAGACCCGUAAUCCGGGUUGCGGACAGUGUCUGGUGGGUAGUUUGACUGGGGCGGUCUCCUCCCAAAGAGUAACGGAGGAGCACGAAGGUUGGCUAAUCCUGGUCGGACAUCAGGAGGUUAGUGCAAUGGCAUAAGCCAGCUUGACUGCGAGCGUGACGGCGCGAGCAGGUGCGAAAGCAGGUCAUAGUGAUCCGGUGGUUCUGAAUGGAAGGGCCAUCGCUCAACGGAUAAAAGGUACUCCGGGGAUAACAGGCUGAUACCGCCCAAGAGUUCAUAUCGACGGCGGUGUUUGGCACCUCGAUGUCGGCUCAUCACAUCCUGGGGCUGAAGUAGGUCCCAAGGGUAUGGCUGUUCGCCAUUUAAAGUGGUACGCGAGCUGGGUUUAGAACGUCGUGAGACAGUUCGGUCCCUAUCUGCCGUGGGCGCUGGAGAAUUGAGGGGGGCUGCUCCUAGUACGAGAGGACCGGAGUGGACGCAUCACUGGUGUUCGGGUUGUCAUGCCAAUGGCACU
rnacentral:rRNA from 1 species